CGGGAUGUGGCGCAGUUUGGUAGCGCACUUGACUGGGGGUCAAGGGGCCGGAAGUUCAAAUCUUCUCAUCCCGACCA
rnacentral:tRNA from 1 species